UCCGCAUUUGAUUUCAUCUGUC
rnacentral:siRNA from 1 species